rnacentral:rRNA from 1 species
UGCCGCGUGCAGGAUGAAGGCCUUCGGGUUGUAAACUGCUUUUGUACGGAACGAAAAGACUCUGGUUAAUACCUGGGGUCCAUGACGGUACCGUAAGAAUAAGCACCGGCUAACUACGUGCCAGCAGCCGCGGUAAUACGUAGGGUGCAAGCGUUAAUCGGAAUUACUGGGCGUAAAGCGUGCGCAGGCGGUUAUAUAAGACAGAUGUGAAAUCCCCGGGCUCAACCUGGGAACUGCAUUUGUGACUGUAUAGCUAGAGUACGGUAGAGGGGGAUGGAAUUCCGCGUGUAGCAGUGAAAUGCGUAGAUAUGCGGAGGAACACCGAUGGCGAAGGCAAUCCCCUGGACCUGUACUGACGCUCAUGCACGAAAGCGUGGGGAGCAAACAGGAUUAGAUACCCUGGUAGUCCACGCCCUAAACGAUGUCAACUGGUUGUUGGGUCUUCACUG